rnacentral:rRNA from 1 species
CCUACGUGAGGCAGCAGUGGGGAAUAUUGGACAAUGGGCGAAAGCCUGAUCCAGCCAUGCCGCGUGUGUGAAGAAGGCCUUCGGGUUGUAAAGCACUUUCAGUGGGGAAGAAAGCCUUGGGGCUAAUGCCCUCGAGGAAGGACAUCACCCACAGAAGAAGCACCGGCUAACUCCGUGCCAGCAGCCGCGGUAAUACGGAGGGUGCGAGCGUUAAUCGGAAUUACUGGGCGUAAAGCGCGCGUAGGCGGUCUGAUAAGCCGGUUGUGAAAGCCCCGGGCUCAACCUGGGAACGGCAUCCGGAACUGUCAGGCUAGAGUGCAGGAGAGGAAGGUAGAAUUCCCGGUGUAGCGGUGAAAUGCGUAGAGAUCGGGAGGAAUACCAGUGGCGAAGGCGGCCUUCUGGACUGACACUGACGCUGAGGUGCGAAAGCGUGGGUAGCAAACAGGAUUAGAUACCCUAGUAGUC